rnacentral:rRNA from 1 species
AGCGUACACGGUGGAUGCCCUGGCAGUCAGAGGCGAUGAAGGACGUGCUAAUCUGCGAUAAGCGUCGGUAAGGUGAUAUGAACCGUUAUAACCGGCGAUUUCCGAAUGGGGAAACCCAGUGUGAUUCGUCACACUAUCAUUAACUGAAUCCAUAGGUUAAUGAGGCGAACCGGGGGAACUGAAACAUCUAAGUACCCCGAGGAAAAGAAAUCAACCGAGAUUCCCCCAGUAGCGGCGAGCGAACGGGGAGCAGCCCAGAGCCUGAAUCAGUGUGUGUGUUAGUGGAAGCGUCUGGAAAGGCGCGCGAUACAGGGUGACAGCCCCGUACACAAAAAUGCACAUACUGUGAGCUCGAUGAGUAGGGCGGGACACGUGGUAUCCUGUCUGAAUAUGGGGGGACCAUCCUCCAAGGCUAAAUACUCCUGACUGACCGAUAGUGAACCAGUACCGUGAGGGAAAGGCGAAAAGAACCCCGGCGAGGGGAGUGAAAAAGAACCUGAAACCGUGUACGUACAAGCAGUGGGAGCACAGAGCAAUCUGUGUGACUGCGUACCUUUUGUAUAAUGGGUCAGCGACUUAUAUUCUGUAGCAAGGUUAACCGAAUAGGGGAGCCGAAGGGAAACCGAGUCUUAACUGGGCGUUAAGUUGCAGGGUAUAGACCCGAAACCCGGUGAUCUAGCCAUGGGCAGGUUGAAGGUUGGGUAACACUAACUGGAGGACCGAACCGACUAAUGUUGAAAAAUUAGCGGAUGACUUGUGGCUGGGGGUGAAAGGCCAAUCAAACCGGGAGAUAGCUGGUUCUCCCCGAAAGCUAUUUAGGUAGCGCCUCGUGAAUUCAUCUCCGGGGGUAGAGCACUGUUUCGGCAAGGGGGUCAUCCCGACUUACCAACCCGAUGCAAACUGCGAAUACCGGAGAAUGUUAUCACGGGAGACACACGGCGGGUGCUAACGUCCGUCGUGAAGAGGGAAACAACCCAGACCGCCAGCUAAGGUCCCAAAGUCAUGGUUAAGUGGGAAACGAUGUGGGAAGGCCCAGACAGCCAGGAUGUUGGCUUAGAAGCAGCCAUCAUUUAAAGAAAGCGUAAUAGCUCACUGGUCGAGUCGGCCUGCGCGGAAGAUGUAACGGGGCUAAACCAUGCACCGAAGCUGCGGCAGCGACACUUAUGUGUUGUUGGGUAGGGGAGCGUUCUGUAAGCCUGUGAAGGUGUACUGUGAGGUAUGCUGGAGGUAUCAGAAGUGCGAAUGCUGACAUAAGUAACGAUAAAGCGGGUGAAAAGCCCGCUCGCCGGAAGACCAAGGGUUCCUGUCCAACGUUAAUCGGGGCAGGGUGAGUCGACCCCUAAGGCGAGGCCGAAAGGCGUAGUCGAUGGGAAACAGGUUAAUAUUCCUGUACUUGGUGUUACUGCGAAGGGGGGACGGAGAAGGCUAUGUUGGCCGGGCGACGGUUGUCCCGGUUUAAGCGUGUAGGCUGGUUUUCCAGGCAAAUCCGGAAAAUCAAGGCUGAGGCGUGAUGACGAGGCACUACGGUGCUGAAGCAACAAAUGCCCUGCUUCCAGGAAAAGCCUCUAAGCAUCAGGUAACAUCAAAUCGUACCCCAAACCGACACAGGUGGUCAGGUAGAGAAUACCAAGGCGCUUGAGAGAACUCGGGUGAAGGAACUAGGCAAAAUGGUGCCGUAACUUCGGGAGAAGGCACGCUGAUAUGUAGGUGAAGUCCCUCGCGGAUGGAGCUGAAAUCAGUCGAAGAUACCAGCUGGCUGCAACUGUUUAUUAAAAACACAGCACUGUGCAAACACGAAAGUGGACGUAUACGGUGUGACGCCUGCCCGGUGCCGGAAGGUUAAUUGAUGGGGUCAGCGCAAGCGAAGCUCUUGAUCGAAGCCCCGGUAAACGGCGGCCGUAACUAUAACGGUCCUAAGGUAGCGAAAUUCCUUGUCGGGUAAGUUCCGACCUGCACGAAUGGCGUAAUGAUGGCCAGGCUGUCUCCACCCGAGACUCAGUGAAAUUGAACUCGCUGUGAAGAUGCAGUGUACCCGCGGCAAGACGGAAAGACCCCGUGAACCUUUACUAUAGCUUGACACUGAACAUUGAGCCUUGAUGUGUAGGAUAGGUGGGAGGCUUUGAAGUGUGGACGCCAGUCUGCAUGGAGCCGACCUUGAAAUACCACCCUUUAAUGUUUGAUGUUCUAACGUUGACCCGUAAUCCGGGUUGCGGACAGUGUCUGGUGGGUAGUUUGACUGGGGCGGUCUCCUCCUAAAGAGUAACGGAGGAGCACGAAGGUUGGCUAAUCCUGGUCGGACAUCAGGAGGUUAGUGCAAUGGCAUAAGCCAGCUUGACUGCGAGCGUGACGGCGCGAGCAGGUGCGAAAGCAGGUCAUAGUGAUCCGGUGGUUCUGAAUGGAAGGGCCAUCGCUCAACGGAUAAAAGGUACUCCGGGGAUAACAGGCUGAUACCGCCCAAGAGUUCAUAUCGACGGCGGUGUUUGGCACCUCGAUGUCGGCUCAUCACAUCCUGGGGCUGAAGUAGGUCCCAAGGGUAUGGCUGUUCGCCAUUUAAAGUGGUACGCGAGCUGGGUUUAGAACGUCGUGAGACAGUUCGGUCCCUAUCUGCCGUGGGCGCUGGAGAACUGAGGGGGGCUGCUCCUAGUACGAGAGGACCGGAGUGGACGCAUCACUGGUGUUCGGGUUGUCAUGCCAAUGGCACUGCCCGGUAGCUAAAUGCGGAAGAGAUAAGUGCUGAAAGCAUCUAAGCACGAAACUUGCCCCGAGAUGAGUUCUCCCUGACUCCUUGA